UUAUCUCCUCUCAUCUUAUCUCCUCAGCUCUCGGCGGCGGUGUGUGGGUUCAUGCUGAAGCUCUACGGAGGUCUGGAAGAUCCCGACUUCCUGCUGCAGCUUCACUCUGUGGGACUCCUGGUCCAGUUUGAGGGCCUGCUCAGCACCUAUGGUGAGGAGGUGGGCAUGCUGGAGGACAUGGAGGUGGCCGUGGCUGACCUCAGCGGCGUGGCGUUCACUGUCACCGAGGCUCGAGGUGAAGAACCGGAGGACCUGGUGCCGGCACUCAGAGGAGCAUGGGGCGGUUUGGUCGUCGAGGUCCCGUUGCCCCCGGAGACCUUCGGGUCGUUGCCAUGGGAGACCAGAGAGGGGCGUUUGAUUCGAGUUCACCCGGUUUUCUUCAACAUCGGGAUCAACCAGCAGCAGAGUCUGGCUGAGAGGUUCGGGGACAGCUCCCUGCAGGAGAAGGUGAACCAGCAGAGCUGUGAGCGUCUGCGGGCGUACUGCAACGCGCUGACGGACGCCACGCCUCGCACAGCAGGGAGCCGGUCCCUGGGGGACAUGUUGUCCUCUCUGGAGCACAGCCUGGACACCAAGAAGAGGAAGAACGUGGGGGUUCUUUGGGCCGCCGCGUCGGUGUGUCGCGAGGUGCACGGCGUGCGUCUGACCAGCUGUAAGAGCGCCAAGGACCGCACGGCCAUGUCAGUGACCCUGGAGCAGUGUGCGCUGCUGAGGGAGCGACACUCGCUCGGCCGGCAGCAGUUCGGCGUCGCACUCGACUGCAUGAGGAGGUCUCGCCGGUACUGGGGGCAGAUAUCCGGCUGUUACCCCCAGUCGGGGGACCACGGCUGUGGGAAGCGCCCCCCUGACCUCCGGGGCUCCCUGGUUCCGCGGUGCCUGUCGCCUGAGGCCCCCGGACGCCACCUGUACCCGGUGGUCUUCCUCCUGGUGUCCUCCCACCUGCUGGUCCUCUGGCUCAUCCUCAGCCUGGUGGUCCUGCUGGCCAGAGACCAGUAGGCCCGGGAGCGCCGGGAGCAUGGGUUUAUUUGUCCUCACGCAGAAACACGUACUUUUAUCAGAAAUCUUCUUCCAACCAUAUUUUCAGUAAGGGACGGGUGCAGGAUGGACAACGUGCAGAAGAACGUGGGCAGCAGGAAGUUUGCCUUCAGCGGCGUUCAGCUGCUCACUUUCCCCAGACUGUACCGACCUCCAGACGGCAGCUUCGGAUAAAACACCCAUGGUUGUUUUUAUUCUGUGUACAGAUUUGUUGUUGUUUUUUCAUAAGAUUGAUUGUUUCAUACUGUGAGUCUCAUUGUUUUAAUGGUAACGUGUUUGACUAAUAAAGAAAUACUUUAUUUAUUUCCAACAAA